rnacentral:tRNA from 1 species
GCCGGAGUGGCGGAACUGGUAGACGCGCUAGAUUCAGGUUCUAGUGGGCUUCGGCCCGUGGAGGUUCAAGUCCUCUCUCCGGCACCA